rfam:Schistosoma rodhaini strain Burundi genome assembly, scaffold: SROB_scaffold0022290
AUCCAGCUGACCAGUCCCAAAUAGGACGAAACGCACGUCAAACUGGAU